rnacentral:tRNA from 1 species
GCCCCAGUAGUUUAAUGCCAAAACACCGGUUUUGUAACUCGGAGAUCGUAGAUUAAAAUUCUUCCUGGCGCA